rnacentral:rRNA from 1 species
GAACCAACAGGGAUUGCCCCAGUAACGGCGAGUGAAGCGGCAACAGCUCAAAUUUGAAAUCUGGCUCUCAGGGCCCGAGUUGUAAUUUGUAGAGGAUGCUUUUGGCGAGGUGCCUUCCGAGUUCCCUGGAACGGGACGCCACAGAGGGUGAGAGCCCCGUAUGGUCGGACACCGAGCCUCUGUAAAGCUCCUUCGACGAGUCGAGUAGUUUGGGAAUGCUGCUCAAAAUGGGAGGUAUAUGUCUUCUAAAGCUAAAUAUUGGCCAGAGACCGAUAGCGCACAAGUAGAGUGAUCGAAAGAUGAAAAGCACUUUGAAAAGAGGGUUAAAAAGUACGUGAAAUUGUUGAAAGGGAAGCGCCUAUGACCAGACUUGGGCCCGGUGAAUCACCCAGCGUUCUCGCUGGUGCACUUUGCCGGGCACAGGCCAGCAUCAGUUCAGCGCGGGGGAGAAAGGCUUCGGGAAUGUGGCUCCCUCGGGAGUGUUAUAGCCCGCUGCGUAAUGCCCUGCGCCGGACUGAGGUACGCGCAUUGCAAGGAUGCUGGCGUAAUGGUCAUCAGCGACCCGUCUUGAAACACGGACCAAGGAGUCGUCUUCGUAUGCGAGUGUUCGGGUGUCAAACCCCUACGCGUAAUGAAAGUGAACGUAGGUGAGAGCUUCGGCGCAUCACCGACCGAUCCUGAUGUUCUCGGAUGGAUUUGAGUAAGAGCAUACGGGGCCGGACCCGAAAGAAGGUGAACUAUGCCUGUAUAGGGUGAAGCCAGAGGAAACUCUGGUGGAGGCUCGCAGCGGUUCUGACGUGCGAAUCGAUCGUCAAAUAUGGGCAUGGGGGCGAAAGACUAAUCGACC